rfam:Candidatus Daviesbacteria bacterium RIFCSPLOWO2_02_FTLL_36_8 rifcsplowo2_02_scaffold_21660, whole genome shotgun sequence.
UUUGAUUUUUGAGGGGAGUUGACUCUAGUACGAGAGGACCGAGUUGAGGGAACCCCUAGUGUGCCUGUUGUCAUAAUAUGGCAGCGCAGGGUAGCUACGUUCCUAACUGAUAAGUGCUGAAAGCAUCUAAGCACGAAGCAGGCCCCAAGAUGAGAAAUCUUUAAGAAUCCUGGAAGACUACCAGGUUGAUAGGUUGGCGGUGUAAGCACUGUAAGGUGUUGAGCCUACCAAUACUAAUAUUCAU